rnacentral:rRNA from 1 species
AGCGAACGCUGGCGGCAGGCUUAACACAUGCAAGUCGAACGCCCCGCAAGGGGAGUGGCAGACGGGUGAGUAACACGUGGGAACGUACCCUUUGGUUCGGAAUAACUUGGGGAAACUCAAGCUAAUACCGGAUAAGCCCUUAUGGGGAAAGGUUUACUGCCGAAGGAUCAGCCCGCGUCUGAUUAGCUAGUUGGUGAGGUAACGGCUCACCAAGGCGACGAUCAGUAGCUGGUCUGAGAGGAUGAUCAGCCACACUGGGACUGAGACACGGCCCAGACUCCUACGGGAGGCAGCAGUGGGGAAUAUUGGACAAUGGGGGCAACCCUGAUCCAGCCAUGCCGCGUGAGUGAUGAAGGCCUUAGGGUUGUAAAGCUCUUUUACCCGGGACGAUAAUGACUGUACCGGGAGAAUAAGCCCCGGCUAACUUCGUGCCAGCCGCCGCAGUAG